rnacentral:lncRNA from 1 species
UGGUCGACAGAAGCAAGAAAGGGGCGACCCCCAUCUUCCAAAACCCUAAAAAUCCACAAUUUCCUUCAAUUGGAGGUGCAAAUCCUAACCAAAACGAAAUCCGAGCUUAGAACUGUGAUCCUCAUCGCAAGAGGAUUAAGAGGCAAAGAGUCCGGUUCAUCUAGCGGACAAGCCGGAGGGAAUUCACGAGGAAAAGACGCGCUCUAAAGGUAUGAAAUUUAUCUUCUCAGGUAUCCAAGUAAAGGAUGAAGAUCAAGCAAUCGAGUCGAACCGAACACACAUUUUUAGAACGCUUCCGCAUUCGAUCUUUUGUUCUAGAAACUAUGUAAACAAAUAGUAGUUACCGUCUUGAAUAUGGUUUUGUAACAACAAUACAUGUAUGAUGUGUCUCGACAUGGUUAGGACGUUAAAAAGAUUUUGUAAAGUCUAAAU